GACGAACGCUGGCGGCGUGCCUAAUACAUGCAAGUCGAACGAGAGCGCCCGGUGCUUGCACUGGUCAAUCUAGUGGCGAACGGGUGAGUAACACGUGGGUAACCUGCCCAUCAGAGGGGGAUAACAUCCGGAAACGGAUGCUAAAACCGCAUAGGUCUUCGAGCCGCAUGGCUUGAAGAGGAAAAGCGGCGCAAGCUUCUGCUGAUGGAUGGUCCCGCGGUGCAUUAGCUAGUUGGUGAGGUAACGGCUCACCAAGGCCGUGAUGCAUAGCCGACCUGAGAGGGUGAUAGGCCACAUUGGGACUGAGACACGGCCCAAACUCCUGCGGGAGGCAGCAGAAGGGAAUCUGCCGCAAUGGACGCAAAUCUGACGGAGCAACGCCGCGUGAGUGAAGAAGGUGUUCGGAUCGUAAAACUCUGUUGUUAGUGAAGAACAAGUGCUAGAGUAACUGUUAGCGCCUUGACGGUAUCUAACCAGAAAGCCACGGCUAACUACGUG
rnacentral:rRNA from 1 species